rnacentral:rRNA from 1 species
GACGAACGCUGGCGGCGUGCUUAACACAUGCAAGUCGAGCGGUAAGGCCCUUUCGGGGGUACGACGAGCGGCGAACGGGUGAGUAACACGUGGGUGACCUGCCCUUAGCUCUGGGAUAAGCCUGGGAAACCGGGUCUAAUACUGGAUAUGACUCCAUGACGCAUGUUGUGGGGUGGAAAGCCUUGUGCGGCUGAGGAUGGGCCCGCGGCCUAUCAGCUUGUUGGUGGGGUGAUGGCCUACCAAGGCGACGACGGGUAGCCGGCCUGAGAGGGCGACCGGCCACACUGGGACUGAGACACGGCCCAGACUCCUACGGGAGGCAGCAGUGGGGAAUCUUGCGCAAUGGGCGAAAGCCUGACGCAGCGACGCCGCGUGAGGGAUGACGGCCUGG